rnacentral:rRNA from 1 species
UACGGAGGAUGCAAGCGUUAUCCGGAAUGAUUGGGCGUAAAGCGUCCGCAGGUGGCUAUGUAAGUCUGCUGUUAAAGAGCAAAGCUUAACCUUGUAAAAGCAGUGGAAACUACAUAGCUAGAGUGCGUUCGGGGCAGAGGGAAUUCCUGGUGUAGCGGUGAAAUGCGUAGAGAUCAGGAAGAACACCGGUGGCGAAGGCGCUCUGCUAGGCCGCAACUGACACUGAGGGACGAAAGCUAGGGGAGCAAACGGG